rnacentral:rRNA from 1 species
UGUAUGUCUUUUUUGGUCACAGGACUUGCUCCUGGAAGCUGAGAGAGGCCACAGGUAAUCGGGGGCUGCGACUGUUUACCAAAAACACAGGACUCUGCGAACACGUAAGUGGAUGUAUAGGGUCUGACGCCUGCCCGGUGCUGGAAGGUUAAUUGAUGGGGUCAGCCGCAAGGCGAAGCUCUUGAUCGAAGCCCCAGUAAACGGCGGCCGCAACAAUAACGGUCCUAAGGUAGCGAAAUUCCUUGUCGGGUAAGUUCCGACCUGCACGAAUGGCGUAACGCUGGCCCCACUGUCUCGACCAGAGACUCAGUGAAGUUGAAAUCGCUGUGAAGAUGCGGCGUAGCUGCGGAAAGACGGAAAGACCCCGUGAACCUUUACUACAGCUUUACACUGAACUUUGAAUUUAUUUGUGUAGGAUAGGUGGGAGCCUAUGAAGCAGGGGCGCUAGCUCUUGUGGAGGCAACCUUGAAAUACCACCCUGAUAACUUCGGAGUUCUAACCUAGAUCCGUAAUCCGGAUUGGGAACACCGUAUGGUGGGUAGUUUGACUGGGGCGGUCUCCUCCCAAAGAGUAACGGAGGAGUGCAAAGGUACCCUCAGCGCGGUCGGUCAUCGCGCUUUUGAGUGCAAUGGCAUAAGGGUGCUUGACUGCGAGACGUACAUGUCGAGCAGGAACGAAAGUUGGUCAUAGUGAUCCGGUGGUUCUGUAUGGAAGGGCCAUCGCUCAACGGAUAAAAGGUACUCCGGGGAUAACAGGCUUAUUCCUCCCAAGAGUCCACAUCGACGGAGGAGUUUGGCACCUCGAUGUCGGCUCAUCACAUCCUGGGGCUGUAGCAGGUCCCAAGGGUUCGGCUGUUCGCCGAUUAAAGUGGUACGCGAGCUGGGUUCAAAACGUCGUGAGACAGUUUGGUCCCUAUCUUCCGUAGCCGUUGGAGAUUUGAGGGUGAGUUGCUCCUAGUACGAGAGGACCGGAGUGAAUGUAUCUCUGGUGUUCCGGUUGUCACGCCAGUGGCACUGCCGGGUAGCUAUAUACAGACGGGAUAACCGCUGAAAGCAUCUAAGCGGGAAGCCCCCCCCAAGACGAGAUCUCCCUGAGGACUUGAUCCUCCUAAAGGGCCCAAGAAGACUACUUGGUUGAUAGGCUGGGUGUGUACGCACAGCAAUGUGCUUAGCUAACCAGUACUAAUUGCCCGUGAGGCUUGACC